UACGUAGGGGGGCAAGCGUUGUCCGGAAUCAUUGGGCGUAAAGCGCGUGUAGGCGGCUCGAUAAGUCUGCUGUGAAAGUCCAGGGCUCAACCCUGGGAUGCCGGUGGAUACUGUCGAGCUCGAGUCCGGAAGAGGCGAGUGGAAUUCCUGGUGUAGCGGUGAAAUGCGCAGAUAUCAGGAGGAACACCAAUGGCGAAGGCAGCUCGCUGGGACGAUACUGACGCUAAGGCGCGAAAGCGUGGGGAGCGAACAGG
rnacentral:rRNA from 1 species